GCCUGCCAUAACUGUAUAAAGCUUUGCUUUAUAAUAAAUAUAGCUAGGUUUUGUAAUGAUUAAAAGCCUUGGAGUGAGAUGGUAUCUUAGAGUAGUUUUAAUUUGUAUUUCUCUGAUUGCUAGAGAUGAUGAACAUUUUUUCGUAUAUUUGUUGAUUGAUUGUAUAUCCUCUUCUGAGAAGUGUCUGUUCAGGUCCUUGGCCCAUUUAUUGAUUGGGUUAUUUGUGAUUUUUUUUUUUUUUGGUGUUUAGCUUUUUGAGUUCAUUGUAUACCCUAGAGAUUAGAGCUCUAUCUGAUGUGUGAGGGGUAAAAAUUUGUUCCCAGGAUGUAGGCUCCCUAUUCACCUCAGAUAUUAUUUCUCUUGCUGAGAAAAAACUUUUUUAGCUUGAAUUCAACCCAUUUGUUGAUUCUUGGUUUUAAUUCUUGUGCUAUAGGUGUCUUAUUAAGGAACUUGGGGCCUAACCCCACGUGAUGGAGAUUAGGGCCAACUUUUUCUUCUAUUAGACACAGAGUCUCUGGUUUGAUUCCUAGCGUGCAUGGUGAGAGAUAGGGAUUCAAUUUCAUUUUGUUGUAUAUGGAUUUCCAGUUCUCCCAGCACCAUUUGUUGAAGUUGCUAUCCUUUCUCCAUUGUAUGCUUUUAGCAUCUUUGUCUAAUAUAAGGUAGUUGUGGGGGGGAAAGAUACACUCAUACACUUCUGGUGGGACUGCAAAUUGGUGUAGCCAAUUUGGAAAGCAGUAUGGAAAUUCCUUGGAAAGCUGGGAAUGGAACCACCAUUUGACCCAGCUAUUCCUCUUCUUGGACUAUAUACUAUAGCAGCACAAUUCACAAUAGCUAGACUGUGGAGCCAGCCUAGAUGCCCUUCAAUGGAUGAAUGGAUUAAAAAAUGUGGCAUAUGUACACAAUGGAAUAUUACUCAGCACUAAAUAAUAAUAAGAUCAUGGCAUUUGCAGGGAAAUGGAUGGCAUUAGAGCAGAUUAUGCUGAGGUUAGCCAAUCCCCAAAAAAACAAAUGCCGAGUGUCUUCUCUGAUAUAAGGGGGUGUCUCAAAAUGGGGUAGGGAAGAAGAGCAUGGGAAGAAGAUUACCUCUACAUAGGGAAGAAGGGUGGGAGGGAAAGGAAGGGAGAAAGGGAAUUGCAUGGAUGGUGGAAGGAGACCCUCAUUGUUAUACAAAAUACAUGAGUGAAGAUGUGAG
rnacentral:lncRNA from 1 species